GAGAGGAAAACACUGCAAGGGUGCGUUUGCAAGAGCUGGCAUGGACACCUGGCUGCAUGGCUGCAAGGCUGCCAAAUUGCUCUCAGGGAACAGCAUGAAUCGUGAGUGAAGCUGGAUCUACCUCACUUAAUGCACUUGGAUGGUGUCAUUCAUAUCCUUACACCCACUCUGCUGCUAAAAGCUCAUCAGAGGACUCCUGGACUCAUGGGUGAGACGAUGGGCAGAGCAGAUCACAGAAGACUUUGCCAGUGAUGUUAUUGCUCAACGGACAAAGUGUUUGGGAAAUGCAGGCUAUUUCUUGGCACGUGGACCAGCCUUCACCAGCAAAAGACUUUCCAUGCUUGGCAAACACACCACAGAGCCACCAGCAAAUCCAGGCAAUGACACUACCUGGAGCACACUGGGAACAAGGCUUGCCAAACUGCAGUUCUCUCAAGUACCUGCCCUUCUGAAGCAAGAAACCAACGUGAUGAACUCACAGAAUCACUCUCGUUGGAAAAGAUCCUCAUGAAGUCCAACCAUUAUAUACUCUACCAGGACUACUACUACGCCAUGUGCUUGAAC